GAUGAAGAACGUAGCGAAAUGCGAUAAGUAAUGUGAAUUGCAGAGUUCAGUGAAUCAUCGAAUCUUUGAACGCACAUUGCGCCCGUCAGUAUUCUGACGGGCAUGCCUGUCCGAGCGUCAUUGCUGCCCUCAAGCACGGCUUGUGUGUUGGGCCUCCGUCCUCCUCCCGGGGGACGGGCCCGAAAGGCAGCGGCGGCACCGCGUCCGGUCCUCGAGCGUAUGGGGCUUCGUCACCCGCUCUUGUAGGCCCGGCCGGCGCUUGCCGACACAUCAAUCUUUUUUCCAGGUUGACCUCGGAUCAGGUAGGGAUACCCGCUGAACUUAAGCAUAUCAAUAAGCGGAGGA
rnacentral:misc_RNA from 1 species